rnacentral:rRNA from 1 species
UACGGAAGGCAGCACUGGGGAAUAUUGCACAAUGGGCGAAAGCCUGAUGCAGCUAUGCCGCGUGUAUGAAGAAGGCCUUAGGGUUGUAAAGUACUUUCAUCGGGGAGGAAAAACAAAACUAAUAAUUUUAUUUCUUGACGUUACCCGAAAAAGAAGCACCGGCUAACUCCGUGCCAGCAGCCGCGGUAAUACGGAGGGUGCUAGCGUUAAUCAGAAUUACUGGGCGUAAAGAGCACGUAGGUGGUUUUUUAAGUCAGAUGUGAAAUCCCUGGGCUUAACCUAGGAACUGCAUUUUGAAACUGAAAUACUAGAGUAUCGUAGAGGGAGGUAGAAUUCUAGGUGUAGCGGUGAAAUGCGUAGAUAUCUGGAGGAAUACCUGUGGCGAAAGCGGCCUCCUAAACGAAUACUGACACUGAGGUGCGAAAGCGUGGGGAGCAAACAGGGAUUAGAUACC